rnacentral:rRNA from 1 species
CGCCUGUUUAACAAAAACAUUUCUUUUUGGUUUAUUUAAAAGGUAUCUUCUGCCCUAUGAAUAAUUUUAAAUGGCUGCAGUAUUUUGACUGUGCAAAGGAUGCAUAGUAAUUAGUUUCUUAAUUAGGAGCUUGAAUGAAUGGAUGGAUGAGAUGUAUAUUUUAUCAAUUUUUUUAUUAAAAAUUUAAAUUUAAGUAAAAAUGCUUAAGAAUUUUUUGGGACGUAAGACCUAUAGAACUUAUAUUAAUUGUUAUUUGGUUUUUAAUAUAUUAACUCUACUAACAUAUUUAAUGUUUUGCUGGGGUGGUGAGUAAAUUUCAACUUUAUUUUAUCAAAUCAAAUCCUGUUGUAAUUUUAGAUCCUUGUUAGGAAUUGUAAGAAUAAGUUACCUUAGGGAUAACAGCGUAAUCUUAAUGGGAAGUUCACAUUUAUAUUAAGGGUUGCGACCUCGAUGUUGAAUUAAGAUUAGUUAAAGAAGCAGCAUUCUUUACUUUUAGGUCUGUUCGAUCUCUAAAUUCUUACCUUGAUCUGAGUUCAGACCGG